rnacentral:rRNA from 1 species
CCUACGGGUGGCAGCAGUGAGGAAUAUUGGUCAAUGGACGCAAGUCUGAACCAGCCAUGCCGCGUGCAGGAAGACGGCUCUAUGAGUUGUAAACUGCUUUUGUACGAGGGUAAACGCAGAUACGCGUAUCUGUCUGCACGUAUCGUACGAAUAAGGAUCGGCUAACUCCGUGCCAGCAGCCGCGGUAAUACGGAGGAUUCAAGCGUUAUCCGGAUUUAUUGGGUUUAAAGGGUGCGUAGGCGGUCGGAUAAGUUAGAGGUGAAAUCCCGAGGCUCAACUUCGGAAUUGCCUCUGAUACUGUUCGGCUAGAGAGUAGGUGCGGUAGGCGGAAUGUAUGGUGUAGCGGUGAAAUGCUUAGAGAUCAUACAGAACACCGAUUGCGAAGGCAGCUUACCAAGCUACGUCUGACGUUGAGGCACGAAAGCGUGGGGAGCAAACAGGAUUAGAUACCCCAGUAGUC